UCGAAAGUAAACCUGACAGGCUGUUGCUGGCUCUCCAGGGAGCACACGUGUGCACGCCUCGUCAUCUUUAUGUCUCCACCUGUGCACCCUUUGUAGACCCUUUCGAGGGUCUAUGUUGCUUCAUUUACCCCUCAAUGUAUGUCGAUAGAAUGUAUGCGCAUAUGAAAUUUAUA
rnacentral:misc_RNA from 1 species